rnacentral:rRNA from 1 species
AUUGAACGCUGGCGGCAGGCUUAACACAUGCAAGUCGAGCGAGCGGCGGACGGGUGAGUAAUGUAUGGGGAUCUGCCCGCUGGAGGGGGAUAACUACUGGCAACGGUAGCUAAUACCGCAUACCAUCGGAUGAACCCAUAGGGGAUUAGCUUGUAGGUGGGGUAAAGGCUCACCUAGGCGACGAUCCCUAGCUGGUCUGAGAGGAUGAUCAGCCACACGGGGAGUGAGACACGGCCCAGACUCCUACGGGAGGCAGCAGUGGGGAAUAUUGCACAAUGGGCGCAAGCCUGAUGCAGCCAUGCCGCGUGUAUGAAGAAGGCCUUAGGGUUGUAAAGUACUUUCAGAGGGGAGGCGUUACCCGCAGAAGAAGCACCGGCUAACUCCGUGCCAGCAGCCGCGGUAAUUC